CGGAAACUUGAAACGGUUUCAGUCUUCACCAUCACAAUCCAAUUCGUAGAGGAGGAUGACGCACGAGCAAAGAUGAUUUCUUUCUCCACCUUGAAGUCCCCGAGCCUCCGUCCAACGCCACCACCCUCUUCCCUAAAUCAACCUCACCCUAAUCUCAAAUCUCUCCCUCUACCCACCAACACCACCCCCCAAGCCCUUUCCGCAUCAGACCCCGAGCCUCAGCCUCGGAAGCUCAAGGGCAGCUCUCAGCUCAACCGUUGGUCCAGGGCUCGAACAGUCCGCUCUGGCCGUAAAUUGGACCGCUUGGGUCUCCGGACCCAGGUUGCAGAGCUCAACCUCCCAUCUCAACAACCCAAAGAAAGCGAAGUGAACGAAUAUAGCUCUGUAACAUCAGGCAACAGAGAUGAUGAAGCCGUGGAGUUGG
rnacentral:misc_RNA from 1 species